UACGUAGGUGGCAAGCGUUAUCCGGAUUUACUGGGUGUAAAGGGCGUGUAGGCGGGACUGCAAGUCAGAUGUGGAAAUUAUGGGCUCAACCCAUAACCUGCAUUUGAAACUGUAGUUCUUGAGUGAUGGAGAGGCAGGCGGAAUUCCGUGUGUAGCGGUGAAAUGCGUAGAUAUACGGAGGAACACCAGUGGCGAAGGCGGCCUGCUGGACAUUAACUGACGCUGAGGCGCGAAAGCGUGGGGAGCAAACAGG
rnacentral:rRNA from 1 species